AUGAUGCCAUCGCAGCAGGAGGAGAUGUUCAGGACUGAAUCCUCACUGGUCUCGUCGCUCCACGACACCAUGGCACCGGGGAGCAGCAGAACGGCGGUCGACGGUCUGGCGGCGCCGGGGAGGAAGAACAGAGUCCUGGAGCUUGCUGGCAACGCGGCCAAGGACAACAAGAAGACUCGCAUCAUCCCGCGCCACCUGUUGCUCGCCGUCCGCAACGACCAGGAGCGCGGCAGGCUGCUCGCCGGCGUCACCAUCGCCCAUGGCAGGCUGCUCGCCGGUGUGAUCCCCAACAUCAACUCCGUGCUACUCCCCAAGAAGUCCCCCGCCGCCGCCAAGAAGGAGGCCAAGUCGCCCAAGAAGAAGACCGCCACCAAGUCCCCCAAGAAGAAGGUCACCGCCACCAAGGAGUAG
rnacentral:rRNA from 1 species